rnacentral:rRNA from 1 species
CAUGCAUGUCUAAGUAUAAACUGCUUAUACUGUGAAACUGCGAAUGGCUCAUUAAAUCAGUUAUAGUUUAUUUGGUGGUACCUUCUUACUCGGAAUAACCGUAAGAAAAUUAGAGCUAAUACGUGCGUAAAUCCCGACUUCUGGAAGGGACGUAUAUAUUAGAUAAAAGGCGACCGGGCUCUGCCCGACCCGCGGUGAAUCAUGAUAUCUUCACGAAGCGCAUGGCUUGUGCCGGCGCUGUUCCAUUCAAAUUUCUGCCUAUCAACUUUCGAUGGUAGGAAUAGAGGCCUACCAUGGUGGUAACGGGUGACGAGGAUUAGGGUUCGAUUCGGAGAGGGAGCCUGAGAAACGGCUACCACAUCCAAGGAAGGCAGCAGGCGCGCAAUUACCCAAUCCUGAUACGGGGAGGUAGUGACAAUAAAUAACAAUACCGGGCAUUUCAUGUCUGGUAAUUGGAAUGAGUACAAUCUAAAUCCCUAACGAGGAUCCAUUGGAGGGCAAGUCUGGUGCCAGCAGACGCGGUAAUUCCAGCUCCAAUAGCGUAUAUUAAGUUGUUGCAGUUAAAAAGCUCGUAGUUGAUUCGGGUGGGUUUCAGCGUCCGCCUAUGGUGAGUACUGCUGUGCCUUCCUUACUGUCGGGGACCUGCUUCUGGCUUCAUUGUCCGGGACAGGGAUUCGGCAUGGUUACUUUGAGUAAGAUUAGAGUGUUCCAAAGCAGGCUUACGCCGUGAAUACUUUGCAUGGAAUAACAUGAUAGGACUCUGCCCUAUUCUGUUGGCUGUAGGAGUGGAGUAAUGAUUAAGAGGAACAGUCGGGGCAUUCGUAUUUCAUUGUCAGAGGUGAAAUUCUUGGAUUUAUGAAAGACGAACUACUGCGAAAGCAUUGCCAAGGAUGUUUCAUUAUCAAGAACGAAAGUUGGGGGCUCGAAACGAUUAGAUACCGUCGUAGUCCUCACCAUAAACGAUGCCGACUAGGAUUGGCGGACGUUUUUGCAUGACUCCGUCAGCACCUGAGAGAAAUCAAAGUUUUUGGGUUCCGGGGGAGUAUGGUCGCAAGGCUGAA